rfam:Erwinia billingiae strain Eb661 complete chromosome.
GUCUGACACGGACCUACGGUAGCAAGUCUUGCUCCAACGUUCGGUCGCGGUGCGAUGAC